rnacentral:lncRNA from 1 species
CUGAUAGAUACCUGAGCAUGGUGUCAUAGGCCUGUAAUCUCAGCUCUCAGAAAGCUCAGGUAGGAGAAUUACCAAGUUUAAAUCCAGGCUAUAUUGUCAUGAAACCGUACUUCAGGAAUUCAAAUGUGUGGGAACAACAUUCACGUCUCUAAGGGCUACCUGAAGGUCUAAAUACUUGUUUGUAACUGUGAUCUCUAUGGGACAUUGAUUUUUCUAGAAUUCUAUGGUGUGCUUUUCUGUAUCUGAAAUGUGUCCCAUAUGAACACAACUUUUUAAAAAUUCUCCAGUGAUCUAGGAAAUUGAUUUAAUUUUAGCAAAAACCAUUAUAUUGAUGAAAUAGAGUAGUAAGUCUAAUAAGCUAAAUGUUAUUUUUUCAUGUUCUUAAACUGCCAUUUUUGACACCAAGUCCCGUUCAAGUGCUACAAAAAUUAAAAUUUUGUGUUAAGAUGUGUGAGUAGCCCUAGUCUAAAAUACACUUUCAAAAGUACUGUUUAUCAUAGCCAGACAUGGUGGUGCAUGCUGUUAAUCCCAGCAGAAGCAAGUGGAGGAUCUCUGGAGGCCAGCCAGGUAUAAAGAAUGAGCUCCAGGACAGCCAGGGCUAUUAUCUACACAGAGAAACCCUGUCUUAAUUUUAUUUAUAUAGCGGGAUUUUUGAAAGGUAUCAGUAGUUGUGUGUUAUGGUGGAACUGAUAUUUUUUAUAUUGUUUAUGGUGGAACUGAAAAGUUUUUAUAUUGCGCUAGGCCAAACCUAGAGCAUUUCUAUAUUGAAGCUAUCUACACAUCAUUGAAUUGUACCUGGAAAAGUUUAGUUAGGUUUACCUUGACUACACUUCAUAGGGUGAGGGUACUUUUUGAUUCUUUAAAAGUCUGAAAUGACUGGAUUUGUUGUAUCAUCAGUAUAACUUACAGUACACUCAUAUCUGAUUUUCUUUCCGCUUCAACGAAAUGUUAGAAAUAAAUGAAGUUUUGUCUUUUAAGACUAAUAACUAAUUACCUCAAGCUUGUUGCCCUAGAACAUGACAUAUGUUUGUUGUUUCACAGUUUCUGUGGGUCUGGAAUCUAGUUAAAGUUUGACUAGAUCUCUGCUCAGGGCCUUACAAGGAAGGCUACAGUUUCAUCUGAAGCAUGGCUCUUACUCUAUGUGCUCAUGUAACACAACUCUUUCCUUAUAGCAGUAGAGCUCCUGGCUGCUUCAAGACUACCAGACUUUCGGAUCUCAGGGGAGGCCCGUGCCCUCUUAAAGGGCUGGCUUGAUAAGGUUAGGUCCCUCAUUCCCCAGGUAAAGAACUACAGACCCAUGCAAGGAAAGAGAAAUAGUCUGAAAGGUGGUAAGGAAAGGCCUCAGCCUCCCUCUCACUCCCACUUUCAUUGCCUACAAGGCUUCAU